rnacentral:rRNA from 1 species
AUUGAACGCUGGCGGCAGGCCUAACACAUGCAAGUCGAGCGGAGCGGCGGACGGGUGAGUAAUGCCUAGGAAUCUGCCUGGUAGUGGGGGAUAACGUCCGGACACGGGCGCUAAUACCGAAUACUAUCAGAUGAGCCUCGGUCGGAUUAGGUAGUUGGUGUGGUAAAGGCCUACCAAGGCGACGAUCAGUAACUGGUCUGAGAGGAUGAUCAGUCACACGGGAACUUAGACACGGUCCAGACUCCUACGGGAGGCAGCAGUGGGGAAGAGUGGACAAGGGGCGAAAGCCUGAUCCAGCCAUGCCGCGUGUGUGAAGAAGGUCUUCGGAGUGUAAAGCACUUUAAGUUGGGAGGCGUUACCAACAGAAUAAGCACCGGCUAACUUCGUGCCAGCAGCCGCGGUAAUUC